UCAAACAAUGCCACAGGUGAAAGAAUCAGAUGAUAUUAAAAUAAUGGAUAAUGAAUGGGAAUGUGAUCGCAUGGCCAUUAAGUACAAGCAAUAUCAACAUUUGUCUUUCACUAUUUGCUAAUCAUACUUCCUCCACGUGAUGCANNNNNNNNNNNNCCCACUUUCUGCUUGAAAACCAGAAGCAGCGGAUUUAGAUGCAACUCCCUCCAAAUAUUCAAGGAAAUCCAUCACCACAGUAUCAGUCCAAGGAGCGCCAAGUGGAGCUUCAGCACCUGCAACCCACCCUAGAUGGCCACCCUUGGGUGUCACUAUCAGCAAACAAUUUGGGUUUACCUUGAUAGCUUCACG
rnacentral:misc_RNA from 1 species